rnacentral:lncRNA from 1 species
CAAGAACUUCAUGACCCUGCCCAACAUCAAGGUCCCUCUGAUUCUGGGCAUCUGGGGUGGCAAGGGGCAGGGGAAAUCGUUCCAAUGUGAGCUUGUGUUUGCAAAGAUGGGGAUCAACCCGAUCAUGAUGAGUGCUGGGGAGCUCGAGAGCGGCAAUGCCGGUGAGCCGGCGAAGCUGAUCCGGCAGCGGUACCGGGAGGCGGCGGACAUUAUCAAGAAGGGCAAGAUGUGCUGUCUAUUCAUCAAUGAUCUCGAUGCCGGGGCCGGGAGGAUGGGUGGAACCACGCAGUACACGGUGAACAACCAGAUGGUGAACGCUACGCUGAUGAACAUCGCUGACGCGCCGACCAAUGUGCAACUUCCAGGGAUGUACAACAAGGAGGAGAACCCCCGGGUGCCGAUCAUAGUCACCGGCAACGACUUCUCCACCCUCUACGCGCCGCUCAUCCGAGACGGGCGCAUGGAGAAGUUCUACUGGGCGCCGACCCGCGAGGACCGCAUUGGCGUGUGCAAGGGCAUUUUCCGCACCGAUGGCGUCCCCGACGAGGCGGUGGUUAGGCUCGUCGACAUGUUCCCGGGGCAGAGCAUCGACUUCUUCGGCGCGCUGCGUGCCAGGGUUUACGAUGACGAGGUGCGGAAAUGGGUCGGGGAAAUCGGUGUGGAGAACAUUUCCAAGAGGCUGGUGAACUCGAAGGAGGGCCCGCCCAAGUUCGAGCAGCCGAAGAUGACAAUCAGUAAGCUCAUGGAGUAUGGGCACAUGCUUGUCCAGGAGCAGGAGAACGUGAAGAGGGUGCAGCUUGCAGACAAGUACCUCAGUGAGGCUGCACUGGGUGAAGCCAACGACGACGCCAUGAAGACCGGGUCCUUCUACGCCAAGGCCACUUGAUUCUAGUAAUUAAGAAUGCCGUCACUAUAUAUGCAUGUUUGGAAAAUUCCGUACCUUUUUUGAUUCAUCGCCGCACAGGUAAACGAUUUGAAUUGUAAGUUUCUGAAUACAAAGAAAUGGAAUUGUAUAUGUGAAUUACUUGUUGGAACAUUAUCAUAUAUCUGGAAAUCCUCUGAGGCUUUCUUGAUUAGGUACCGUGGGGGUCAUAUAAUUGGACAGAGAUUGUGAUGCAAACGGCUGGAUUAUUGUUUCAAGAAGAAAGAUCAAUGGUCUAUACUAAACCCAAAAAUCAAUUAAUGAGACUUCCAGGGAAAUUGAUCUUGGCAGCUCAUACAUCAAAGCAUUGCAGAAAUGACAUGCUUAGCUGUUUUUUCUCAAAAAAGUACAGACAUGGCUACCUUAAUUUUAUCUUUUCCAUACUGAUGUUUUACCAAAGAUGCAAUGUAUGGAUGUCAUGCAAGUUCUUUUAUUUUUGCGGUAAUAAUGCGAAGUAUGAAGCACAAACGUACAACACCCAUGUGCCUUGAUGUCAACAGGGGCCGACUUAACUUGUGUGGUACCAAUUGACAGCCCUAGCUUGAUGGUUAUCAACAAACCAGCAAAUAUAAGCCAGCAACAUAUUUUGUGGUACUCGAACUAGGAUCCAAUCUCGGGUGCCUCAUCCAACAAGCAACAUAAGAGUUCAUUUUUGUGUGGUUAUGGAAUAGAAGACCCCAGCUUUCGGCUAGCUGAUGAUCAACAAGACACACUAUCUAUACACCGUGAGUCCGGGUGAAAAGAAACAAAAAUGAAAGGCAAGGAAAGAAGAAAGGAUUCUGAUCAGAGAAUGGCUAGAUCCUGUGGCUGUGGAAUGUUAUAGGAUUCGAGCCAGGAGAUAUCAUAUAGCUGAGCUGCAAGCUGCAGCGUUUGGUCUUCACAGUCCAAGUCAUCCAAACCAGCGGGGGCCAAGAUGCACCCGGCCAGAACCCAAUCUCCAGUGUGUGGCCUGUGGGGGAUCAAGAAGCUGAUCCACAAGCACGGGUGUGUGUGUGCCACCUCCCAGCAGCCUCCCACAGCAACAAGAUGGAUAUCCACGUGUAUUUAAGGCAUCUCAUACCUCUGCCUCUAUACUUUGAGCAGCAGCAGCCAUUACUUGAUCAUCUGAAAAAUCUUAAUCCAGAUCAGACCAAGCAGAGCAGAGAUGUCUGCUACCUUCUCGUCCACCGUCGGAGCUCCGGUGCGUACCACACAUCGAUUCAUCGGUCCACAGCUAUCUUUUCUUAAUGGUAUCAUGUCUUCAAUGGCGUCUUGUGUUGUGUCUACAGGCUUCUACGCCAACCAGCUUCCUUGGGAAGAAGCUCAAGAAGCAGGUGACCUCGGCCGUGAACUACCAUGGCAAGAGCACCAAGGCCAACAGAUUCACAGUCAUGGCCAAGGAGGUGGACGAGUCAAAGCAGACUGACCAGGACAGGUGGAAGGGCCUCGCCUACGAUAUCUCCGACGACCAGCAGGACAUCACCAGGGGGAAGGGUAUCGUCGACUCGCUCUUCCAGGCGCCCAUGGGCGACGGUACCCACGUGGCCGUCCUCAGCUCCCAAGAGUACAUCAGCCAGGGCCUAAGGAAGUACGACUUCGACAACACCAUGGGAGGCUUCUACAUCGCCCCAGCCUUCAUGGACAAGCUCGUCGUCCACCUCUCCAAGAACUUCAUGACCCUGCCCAACAUCAAGGUACGCAGCCAGCACAUGAUCAAUUCAUGACUAUUUAAUUUAAUUUAUUAGCAGUAAUACAAUUGAACAAAGCUGUUUGUGAAGCUUUACUGUAAUUUGGGUGCUAACGAAUCGAAAAUUCAGGUGCCACUCAUCUUGGGUAUCUGGGGAGGCAAGGGUCAAGGAAAAUCCUUCCAAUGUGAGCUUGUCUUCGCCAAGAUGGGCAUCAAGUAAGAACUGUUUGAAGUUACUUUCAUCUAUUGUUAAUUGCCAGCAACACAAAUAUCAUGUCUGCACCCGAAUUAAGCAAGUAGUAACAGAUGAUGAUGUGUGCUUGCUACAGCCCAAUCAUGAUGAGUGCCGGAGAGCUGGAGAGCGGAAACGCCGGAGAGCCAGCCAAGCUGAUCAGGCAGCGGUACCGUGAGGCCGCAGACUUGAUCAAGAAGGGUAAGAUGUGCUGCCUCUUCAUCAACGAUCUCGACGCUGGUGCGGGUCGGAUGGGCGGGACCACCCAGUACACUGUCAACAACCAGAUGGUUAACGCCACCCUGAUGAACAUCGCGGAUGCCCCCACCAACGUGCAGCUCCCUGGGAUGUACAACAAGGAGGAAAACCCCCGUGUGCCCAUCAUCGUCACUGGUAACGAUUUCUCCACGCUCUACGCGCCACUCAUCCGUGACGGUCGUAUGGAGAAGUUCUACUGGGCCCCCACCCGCGAAGACCGUAUCGGUGUAUGCAGGGGUAUCUUCCAAA